ACGGAGGUUGCAAGCGUUGUUCGGAAUAACUGGGCGUAAAGGGAGCGCAGGCGGUUAGGUGAGUUCAAAGUGAAAGCCCGGGGCUUAACCUCCGAAAGGAUUUGGAAACUGACUUACUCGAGUGCGUGAGAGGAAAGCGGAAUUCCAGGUGUAGCGGUGAAAUGCGUAGAUAUCUGGAGGAACACCGGUGGCGAAGGCGGCUUUCUGGCGUGAUACUGACGCUGAGGCGCGAAAGCAUGGGUAGCGAACAG
rnacentral:rRNA from 1 species